AAUCUAGAUAUUUUGUUAAGAUAAGAUGUAGAUAUUGAUAAAAUGGUUUCAAAACAAUUUAGAAGCGGAAUCAAAAGAGGCCAAAGCAGUAAUACAAACCCAAGGGCUCUAGAAAAGGCCAAUGAUGUAGAGAAGAACCCAGGCCCUAAAAGUCCUAAAAAGGAUGUUUCUUUACAGACUCGUCGAUCUAGCCGAAGCCGAAGUAUAUCUGUUCAACGAAAACCAUCAGAAGUUGUGAAUGUUACUCCUUGCAGUGCUACCGUAGACUUAAAGGAAACUGUUAACGAUAAUCCAAGAAGGGAUUCAGCGCUUUCUACAGCAUCAACAGGAAAAGAACAGGAUAAAAUUUCAAGACUUGAGUCCGAAAUUGCUUUACUCCAAGUAACUUUAGAAGGUAUUGACAACAAUGUGCUAAAACUACAGAGUUCAGUUGAUCAGCUUCGGCCGAUCUAUAAUGAUGCUAAAUUAGCCUUAGGAAGUAUAACAUCUCAGCAGCAGAAGAACAAUCUAGUCUUCUACGGGAUAGCUCCAGACCCGCUGGAGAUUGAUAUGAUGUCUGAGCCCGACUUUUGUCGAGAUAUCCUUGAAACCAGGAUCAAGGGGAUCCUGAGGGAACAUCUUAAAAUAUCAAGGGACAUCCCUUUCCAUCAGGUUGCCAGGAUACAUAGUGCAAGGCCAGUUAAUGGUGUCCAACCUAUUGUCGCCUGCUUUGCAAAUUGGAAAGAUAAAGAAAACAUUCUACGACAGGGGAAGUUACUGAAAGGGGCUGGCAUUAACAUCACUGAAGACAUAUCUAACAAAUCAUUUAGUUCAGGAGUAAAAGUUUCUGGGUCUAACAAUAAUAAGACGAGGACAAGUGUUGAUGAGACUAGCGGGGAUGAAACCAAUAGAGAGGAAAGAGAGCUUGCAAAUGGAUACACAUCUUCAUCUGCUAGUGGCACUGAAUAGUAAUCAUCAAUAUCAUUAUUAUUAUCAUUAUACAUAUGGGUUUAAAUUUAUAUAGAAGGAAGUGAUUACCAAUUAAACUCUUAUAUCAUGAAAAUUUAAAAUCAGAACUUUUGUGGUACAGCUAAACCACAACUUUGAAGGCAUCAAAAGAGUUUAUAAAAUGUCGUCUUGGCAGUUUUUUUAAUCUCUCCAUAAUAUUAUAUCCAACCUCAGAAGUGUACCUCGUAGACCAGGGAAGACCCUUGAUUCUGUGAAUUCUAUAAAUUCUGCUGAUGAGUAUCAAAGGUGUAUCAGGGUGUAAACAUAUAGGGAUUAAAAACUAGAGUUUGAGUUGAGGCCAGUGUUAUCCUUUUCUUUAAUGUUUCUAUAUAUAUUGUUUACUAGACUUUUAGGGUGCUUCGCGCCCAUCUUCUAUUUCAGAAUUUAAUUGUGCACG